AUUGAACGCUGGCGGCAGGCCUAACACAUGCAAGUCGAGCGGUAGCACAGGAGAGCUUGCUCUCCGGGUGACGAGCGGCGGACGGGUGAGUAAUGUCUGGGAAACUGCCUGAUGGAGGGGGAUAACUACUGGAAACGGUAGCUAAUACCGCAUAACGUCUUCGGACCAAAGUGGGGGACCUUCGGGCCUCACGCCAUCAGAUGUGCCCAGAUGGGAUUAGCUAGUAGGUGGGGUAAUGGCUCACCUAGGCGACGAUCCCUAGCUGGUCUGAGAGGAUGACCAGCCACACUGGAACUGAGACACGGUCCAGACUCCUACGGGAGCAGCAGUGGGAAUAUUGCACAAUGGGCGCAAGCCUGAUGCAGCCAUGCCGCGUGUGUGAAGAAGGCCUUCGGGUU
rnacentral:rRNA from 1 species